AUCACAUCCUGGGGCUGAAGUCGGUCCCAAGGGUAUGGCUGUUCGCCAUUUAAAGUGGUACGCGAGCUGGGUUUAGAACGUCGUGAGACAGUUCGGUCCCUAUCUGCCGUGGGCGUUUGAGAAUUGAAGAGGGCUGCUCCUAGUACGAGAGGACCGGAGUGGACGAACCGCUGGUGUUCGGGUUGUUAUGCCAAUAGCAUUGCCCGGUAGCUACGUUCGGAACUGAUAACCGCUGAAAGCAUCUAAGCGGGAAGCAGGCUUUGAGAUGAGUUCUCACUGGAGCUUUAAGCUCCCUAAAGGGUCGUUGGAGACUACAACGUUGAUAGGUUGGGUGUGGAAGUGCUGCGAGGCAUUGAGCUAACCAAUACUAAUUACCCGUGAGGCUUAACCAUACAACACCCAAG
rnacentral:rRNA from 1 species